CACGUAGGGCGCAAGCGUUGUCCGGAAUUAUUGGGCGUAAAGAGCUCGUAGGUGGUUUGUUACGUCUGCUGUGAAAACCUAGGGCUUAACCCUGGGCUUGCAGUGGAUACGGGCAGACUAGAGGUAGGUAGGGGAGAAUGGAAUUCCUGGUGUAGCGGUGAAAUGCGCAGAUAUCAGGAGGAACACCGGUGGCGAAGGCGGUUCUCUGGGCCUUACCUGACACUGAGGAGCGAAAGCAUGGGGGGCGAACAGG
rnacentral:rRNA from 1 species